GAUGAACGCUGGCGGCGUGCCUAAUACAUGCAAGUCGAGCGAACAGACGAGGAGCUUGCUCCUCUGACGUUAGCGGCGGACGGGUGAGUAACACGUGGAUAACCUACCUAUAAGACUGGGAUAACUUCGGGAAACCGGAGCUAAUACCGGAUAAUAUAUUGAACCGCAUGGUUCAAUAGUGAAAGACGGUUUUGCUGUCACUUAUAGAUGGAUCCGCGCCGCAUUAGCUAGUUGGUAAGGUAACGGCUUACCAAGGCGACGAUGCGUAGCCGACCUGAGAGGGUGAUCGGCCACACUGGAACUGAGACACGGUCCAGACUCCUACGGGAGGCAGCAGUAGGGAAUCUUCCGCAAUGGGCGAAAGCCUGACGGAGCAACGCCGCGUGAGUGAUGAAGGUCUUCGGAUCGUAAAACUCUGUUAUUAGGAAAGAACAAAUGUGUAAGUAACUAUGCACGUCUUGACGGUACCUAAACAGAAAGCCACGGCUAACUACGUG
rnacentral:rRNA from 1 species